ensembl:lncRNA putative protein TPRXL
GUUGUGUCACCCAGCAUCGUGCUGAUGGGACACCUACCUGCUGCUGCUGUGUAUAAAAGGCAGAAGCAUGAUUCAUCUGCUUCACAUCAUCACCUCAGACACUCGCUGAUAGUUUACUCUAUUCCAUCAACAUGAGGACUCUUCUGCUGGCUGUUAUCCUUGGACUUCUGGCUGUCGUCCAUUCAACACCUGUUGACACUGUGACCCAGAACCCUACCAAACCUGAGGAUGACGUUUUCAGGGAGGCCAUGACAGACGGGUUCCUCAUCGAUCUCCCAACGCUCACAACCGAACCGCCCAAAAUAAGCAUGACCACUCUGGCCUCCCUGCCGCCGUCCGCUGAACCAAAAGACAUGGACGACAUGGAGGGCAGUGCUUCAGGAGAGCCCUCGACCUCCAUCUUCUUCACAGCCACAACCGCUUCUCACAGCUCCACACGAGACACUCCACUGCUGAGUCCUCUGCCUGGCUUCACCUCUACAUCUGAAGCCUACCCAAGCGAAACGGCAAACCCUGAGGAGUUCAGCGGUGACACCCAGGGCUCUGGUUCAGGGUUUGAAGAUGAACCGAUGCUAAGCACCUCUCCAAGCUCCAGAGUGACCUCCAGCUUCACGACACAAACCAGCACCGCACCGUCCACCUCCACCACUGCUGCUGCUCCCAGCACAAGCAGCGACCAAAUAUUUGAAGAUAAAGAAGGUUCUGCCUCAGGUUCAGGCCCACAAGUAAGAAUGCAGUUUAAGGGGAGUGUCGGUCAGGAAAUGCUUGAACCAGGUCAGGUAGCUGAACUGGAAUCUGCUAAUCCAACACCAGGAACUCCAGGAGACUCUACGCCAGGUUGGAUCCUCGUUAUUGGAUUUAUCGCGGGUGCCGCCGCACUUGUAAUGCUCAGCGUCGCCAUUGCUACAAGGAACAAGUGGAAUAGACCAAACCAGGCAUCCGUGAGGCAAGAGCCCCAAACUGACUCCUCGAACCAGCAGAGGGAGCUAGAGAUGGAGACUUUCCUGCACAAGCAGGAGCCCAGGGAGAAUGGAAAGGCAGCAGAGUACACAGUCAUUCCUCUGGAUGAGCUUCCAGAGGAUUACUCAUCACACUGAGGUUCAGAAACGGACCCUCUGGAGACUCAUCAGAGACCCACGAGAAGUGUUUGAAGUAGGUGAUCAGAGGAGCAGAAGUGUCCAGACUGUUGAAUUCAGAGUGAGAAUCAUGGUCUGUUUUUUAAAUUAAAGUUUUUUCUCUGCUUUCAAAAACUUUUACUUUGAUGCUACAAAAAGGAUUGAUGUAUUUAUUGUCAUAUCAACUUCUUUUAAAGGUAGGGUCGGAGAUUUCAUUCUGAUGCACUUCUUAUUAAAUUAGCGUAACUUCUCUUUACAAUCCGAUAGCAACCAAUUAGUUCGGCAGUUUCUCAUUAAAACGAAGAAUAUGAAUCAUCUGUGGAAGCUAUAAAAUGCUAAAAACAUCAGCCAAUCCUCCGGGUGGACCCUGCUCGGAGUAUUGGCUGGUUGUCACUCUCUUCCUGCUCUGCGCGCACCAGAGAGGUAUGUGCAUGAUGGCCGAAGUCAAUCACGUCCAUGUGAUUGGAGGCGUGGCUUCGGGGUGAGCUCCGAGAGAAAGGGGCGUGUGUUUACUUUCAAAAUCUGGCUGACUCUCACUGAGUUUACAAAAUCUCCUACUCUACCUUUAACCUGUAAAUAGAAAGAAAAACAAGAUGCACACGUCUUUUAUUUCAAUGCCACAGUGUUUUUCUUACUGCCUUUUGUAAAGUGUCUUUUUUGUAAAGUUAUUUUAAUGUCUGUGUGAUGACCUUAUUGACAACUGUGUUGUGGAUUGUAACUUAUAUUAAGCUGCUCUGUUGUUAAAUCAUUCCUUCUCUCCACACAGCAUGCACUGUAGAAAUCAACACAACCGCAGCUCAUCAAUAAACAUUUAUUUGUUUCCA